CCCUUAGAUGUUCUGGGCCGCACGCGCGCUACACUGACGAAUGCAACGAGCUUAUAACCUUGGCCGAAAGGUCUGGGUAAUCUCCAAAUUUCGUCGUGAUGGGGAUAGAUUAUUGCAAUUAUUAAUCUUCAACGAGGAAUGCCUAGUAAGCGCAAGUCAUCAGCUUGCGUUGAUUACGUCCCUGCCCUUUGUACACACCGCCCGUCGCACCUACCGAUUGAAUGGUCCGGUGAAUCUUUAGGACUGUGGCUGAGGCCUUGCCUUGUGCGGGUCUGGCCGUGGGAAUUUAGUUAAACCUUACCAUUUAGAGGAAGGUGAANUCGUAACA
rnacentral:rRNA from 1 species